rnacentral:rRNA from 1 species
UACGUAGGGUGCAAGCGUUGUCCGGAAUUAUUGGGCGUAAAGAGCUCGUAGGCGGUUUGUCGCGUCUGCUGUGAAAACCCUGAGGCUCAACCUCGGGCCUGCAGUGGGUACGGGCAGACUAGAGUGCGGUAGGGGAGAUUGGAACUCCUGGUGUAGCGGUGGAAUGCGCAGAUAUCAGGAAGAACACCGAUGGCGAAGGCAGAUCUCUGGGCCGUAACUGACGCUGGAGGAGCGAAA